rnacentral:lncRNA from 1 species
GGUCCUGUAUCAUGUGGAGUAAACAGGAAGUUAGAGUAAGCAAAACUAUACAGUGCAACUAUUUUAUCAACUUGUGGACAGAAAUCAAGUUGUGUUUAAAGGAAGGAACCAACAGUACAUUGUGAAGAGUAAUGAAUGAAGUUAAUGCAAAAGAACCUGUACAAGUUACUUUCACUUUGUAACCAUUAGGUAAAGUUACAAGAUAAGGAACAGUCAAAGGUAUGAUGUUAAAGAGUAGGUUUUUAUCAUGUGUCAUAUGAUUAGAUGCGAUCCAGAAGCCUCUUCAGAGAAGGGUCCUGUAUCAUGUGGAGUAAACAGGAAGUUAGAGUAAGCAAAACUAUACAGUGCAACUAUUUUAUCAACUUGUGGACAGAAAUCAAGUUGUGUUUAAAGGAAGGAACCAACAGUACAUUGUGAAGAGUAAUGAAUGAAGUUAAUGCAAAAGAACCUGUACAAGUUACUUUCACUUUGUAACCAUAAGGCAAAGUAACAAGAUAAGGAACAGUCAAAGGUAUGAUGUUAAAGAGUAAGUUUUUAUCAUGUAUCAUAUGAUUAGAUGCCCAUGAAUCUAUGAUCCAGGUGACAGAAUUAAUGUGUGUAAGCAUGCAUAACUUGAAAUCA